UUACUUAAAGCGUAUGGAGGAUGCCUAGACUGAAGUAAGCGAUGAAGGACGUAGCAGGUUGCGAUAAGCCUCGGGGAGCUGCCAAGCAAGCUUUGAUCCGAGGAUUUCCGAAUGAGACAACUCUUCGCCGAUGAGGCGAAAUCAUUAACUGAAUUCAUAGGUUAAUGAAGCACACCCUGGGAACUGAAACAUCUUAGUACCAGGAGGAAAAGAAAACAAUAGUGAUUCCGCAAGUAGUGGCGAGCGAAAGCGGAACAGCCGACACUCUUUAGCAUUGAUCCAAUAGAAUGUCUCUGGAAAGAGCGACCAUAGAGGGUAAUAGUCCCGUAUAUGAACGAUUGAUGUGGAAAUAGGUGUGUCAAAAAGUAGGGCGGGACCGGAGAAAUCCCGUUUGAAGAUGGGAGCACUAACUUCCAAGGCUAAAUAUUACUUCAGAUCGAUAGUGAACUAGUACCGUGAGGGAAAGGUGAAAAGCAUCCCGAUAAGGGAGAUGAAAUAGUAUCUGAAACCAUACGCUAACAAAGAAUCAGAGCCCCGGCGCUUGCGUCGAGGUGAUGGUGUGCUUUUUGCAGAACGAGCCAACGAGUUAGUUUUAUAUGGCAGCGUAAGCCACUUUGUGGCGGACGCAUAGUGAAAGCGAGGCUUAACCGCCGCAUAUUGUCGUAUGGACUAGACCCGAAGCCAGGCGAGCUACAUAUGAGCAGGGUGAACUCCGAGUAACAUCGGGGGGAGGCCCGAACCCACUAGUCGUUCGACUCUAGGGGAUGACUUGUGUGUAGAGGAGAAAUUCCAAUCGAGCUUGGCAAUAGCUGGUUCUCUCCGAAAUAGCUUGAGGGCUAGCGUUCGGUAAAUGAGCAUGGGAGGUAGAGCUACUGAAUGAGGCCGCGCGGCUUGCCGUAGCGAUCUCAACCAAACUCCGAAUUCCCAUGUUUCUUAUCCGAGCAGUCAGAAAUCCGGCUCUAAGGUCGGAUCUCAAAAGGGAAAAAGCCCAGAUCAUAAUCUAAGGUCCCCAAAUUCAUGUUAAGUGGAAAAGGAAGUAAAGUUUCUCAAACACCUAGGAGGUUGGCUUAGAAGCAGCCAUCCUUUAAAGAGUGCGUAAUAGCUCACUAGUUUAGAGAUUUUGCGCCGAAAAUGUAACGGGGCUAAACAUGAUACCGAAGAUAUGGACUCCAAGGCGUGAGCCGUGGUGGAGCGCAGGGAAGUGAGAAUGUUGGCAUAAGUAACCGCAAUGCACGUGAGAGCCGUGCACCCCGAAAGUCCAAGGUUUCCUGGGCAAUGGUGAUCAUCCCAGGGUUAGUCGGUCCUAAGGCGAGGCUGAAAAGCGUAGUCGAUGGACAACAGGUUAAUAUUCCUGUACUGAAAUAAUAUUCGAUGGAGGGACGCAUUUUAGUAUAUUCUGCGCCUUAAUGGAUUGGCGUAGGGUUUUUAAGGAAGCUUUCUAGGAAAAUCCGGAAAGCAAUAUUCCAAGAAUUCUCUGGAACCCCGACCUCGUGUCGGGGGAACAGAAUAAAGCAAAGUGCCAGGAAAAACUUCUAAGAUUAGUAUUAUUUCAUCCGUACCGCAAACCGACACAGGUGGACAGGGCGAGUAGCCCAAGGGGAACGGGAGAACCUUCGUUAAGGAACUCGGCAAAACAGCUAGACGUAAGUUCGCAAGAUGUCUCGCCUAUAUCGCAAGGUAUAGGCCGCAGCUAAAGAUCCCAAGCGACUGUUUAUCAAAAACACAGGUCUCUGCAAACCCGCAAGGGGAAGUAUAGGGGCUGACGCCUGACCAGUGCUGGAACGUUAACGGGAGCGGUGCAAGCCAAUCCCCGAAGCGCCAGUGAACGUC
rnacentral:rRNA from 1 species